ensembl:piRNA 21ur-12890 ncRNA
UUGAUCUCAUAGGUCUAAAAA